rnacentral:rRNA from 1 species
AUUGAACGCUGGCGGCAGGCUUAACACAUGCAAGUCGAGCGGGGUGAUGGUGCUUGCACUAUCACUUAGCGGCGGACGGGUGAGUAAUGCUUAGGAAUCUGCCUAUUAGUGGGGGACAACAUCUCGAAAGGGAUGCUAACACCGCAUACGUCCUACGGGAGAAAGCAGGGGAUCACUUGUGACCUUGCGCUAAUAGAUGAGCCUAAGUCGGAUUAGCUAGUUGGCGGGGUAAAGGCCUACCAAGGCGACGAUCUGUAGCGGGUCUGAGAGGAUGAUCCGCCACACUGGGACUGAGACACGGCCCAGACUCCUACGGGAGGCAGCAGUGGGGAAUAUUGGACAAUGGGGGGAACCCUGAUCCAGCCAUGCCGCGUGUGUGAAGAAGGCCUUAUGGUUGUAAAGCACUUUAAGCGAGGAGGAGGCUCUUUUGGUUAAUACCCAAGAUGAGUGGACGUUACUCGCAGAAUAAGCACCGGCUAACUCUGUGCCAGCCGCCGCGGUAA